rnacentral:rRNA from 1 species
AUGGCGAGGCCAAGGCAUCUGAUCCAAGUUGUGGUGAUCCUCCUAGCGACGUGGUCCCUCCUCUUCCUCCGGAGCUCGUCGGCCAUAGUCGUGCCUGCACUCCGACCACCGCCACCACCAGCAGCGCCAGCAGGCACCCUCUGCAUCCUCCGCGAGCGGGACGCGCUUCUCACCUUCAAGGCCGGCCUCACCGACCCGAGCAACUACCUUUCGUCAUGGCGGGGCGAGGUGGACUGCUGCCGGUGGACCGGCGUCGAGUGCAGCAACCGGACCGGGCACGUCAUCAAGCUCCAGGUCAGAAGCAACACCAACUCGGAAGGUGAACUCGUGCCCGGGACUACCAUUGGAGGUGAGAUAAGCUCCUCCUUGCUCACUCUGCGUCAUCUCAAGCACCUGGACCUCUCGUCCAACAACUUCGGCGGCAAGCCCAUCCCGGAGUUCAUCGGUGUACUCCAGAGCCUGACGCAUCUCACCUGCAAACUACUGAGUUAUGAGAACAACCCACCUGCAAACCCCCUCUAA